ACGGGAGGCAGCAGUGGGGAAUAUUGCACAAUGGGGGAAACCCUGAUGCAGCGACGCCGCGUGAGUGAAGAAGUAUUUCGGUAUGUAAAGCUCUAUCAGCAGGGAAGAUAAUGACGGUACCUGACUAAGAAGCCCCGGCUAACUACGUGCCAGCAGCCGCGGUAAUACGUAGGGGGCAAGCGUUAUCCGGAUUUACUGGGUGUAAAGGGAGCGCAGACGGCAAAGCAAGUCUGAAGUGAAAUCCCGGGGCUCAACCCCGGAACUGCUUUGGAAACUGUUUAGCUAGAGUGCAGGAGAGGCAAGUGGAAUUCCUAGUGUAGCGGUGAAAUGCGUAGAUAUUAGGAAGAACACCAGUGGCGAAGGCGGUUAGCUGGACAAUAACUGACGCUGAGGCGCGAAAGCGUGGGUAGCAAACAGGAUUAGAUACCCUGGUA
rnacentral:rRNA from 1 species